rnacentral:rRNA from 1 species
UACGGGGGGGGGGCAAGCGUUGUUCGGAAUUAUUGGGGCGUAAAGGGCUCGUAGGCGGUUGGUCACGUCGGGAGUGAAAACUCAGGGCUCAACCCUGAGCGUGCUUCCGAUACGGGCCGACUAGAGGUAUGCAGGGGGAGAACGGAAUUCCUGGUGUAGCGGUGGAAUGCGCAGAUAUCAGGAGGAACACCGGUGGCGAAGGCGGUUCUCUGGGCAUUACCUGACGCUGAGGAGCGAAAGCAUGGGGAGCGAACAGG